UACGUAGGGGGCAAGCGUUUGUCCGGAUUUAUUGGGCGUAAAGAGCGUGUAGGCGGCCUUACAGGUCAGCUGUGAAAACUCGAGGCUCAACCUCGAGACGUCGGUUGAAACCGUAUGGCUAGAGUCCGGAAGAGGAGAGUGGAAUUCCCGGUGUAGCGGUGAAAUGCGCAGAUAUCAGGAAGAACACCUAUGGCGAAGGCAGCUCUCUGGGACGGUACUGACGCUGAGACGCGAAAGCGUGGGGAGCGAACAGG
rnacentral:rRNA from 1 species